rnacentral:rRNA from 1 species
GACGUAGGGUGCGAGCGUUGUCCGGAUUUAUUGGGCGUAAAGAGCUCGUAGGCGGCUCGUCGCGUCGACCGUGAAAACUUGGGGCUUAACCCUAAGCUUGCGGUUGAUACGGGCGGGCUAGAGUUCGGUAGGGGAGACUGGAAUUCUCGGUGUAGCGGUGAAAUGCGUAGAUAUCGAGAGGAACACCUGCGGCGAAGGCGGGUUGCUGGGCUGACACUGACGCUGAUGCGCGAAAGCGUGGGGAGCAAACAGG